AGCUUCCCCCCUUCUUCUGUCCUCUGCCUAAUGUUGGCUCGGGAAAGAAAAAUCUCCUGGGGCUGCUCUAGGAAAGUCAGCUGAGUCUUCUCAGGAGCGGCCGGAGCUGUGAGGAGGUCCAGGAACCAACAAAGACACCACACGAAGACAAUUACACAUGCAGAACAGAUGUCACAGCAGGAGGAAGACACAGAGCACAUUUCUCAGGCAUUAAUACACUAAGGAAGCUCUGCCAAGGGUCCAGCACUUGGAACAGCAGCCACAGGACAAGGCAAAAUCCUGGUGAUGAUGAAACCACAUCAGGAAAAACAGUGUGACAGAUUCUCCAUCGGGAUCCUCUGAAUUUCACUGAAUGCUCCUGCACAAAGCUGUGUUUUCAGCUGAGAAAAGGGACAUAGAAUUUAAAACUCCAAGGCAGUGACUGGAAUUCAGCUGUGUGCUGUCAGGGAAAAAAAAAAUAAUAAUAAUAAAAAUCUCUAAAUCAA